rnacentral:rRNA from 1 species
GACGAACGCUGGCGGCGUGCUUAACACAUGCAAGUCGAACGGAAAGGCCCUGCUUUUGUGGGGUGCUCGAGUGGCGAACGGGUGAGUAACACGUGAGUAACCUGACCUUGACUUUGGGAUAACUUCAGGAAACUGGGGCUAAUACCGGAUAGGAGCUCCUGCUGCAUGGUGGGGGUUGGAAAGUUUCGGCGGUUGGGGAUGGGCUCGCGGCUUAUCAGCUUGUUGGUGGGGUAGUGGCUUACCAGGGCUUUGACGGGUAGCCGGCCUGAGAGGGUGACCGGCCACAUUGGGACUGAGGUACGGCGCAGACUCCUACGGGAGGCAGCAGUGGGGAAUAUUGCACAGUGGGCGGAAGCCUGAUGCAGCAGCGCCGCGUGCGGGAUGACGGCCUUCUGGUUGUAAACCGCUUUCGCCUGUGACGAAGAGUGAGUGACGGUAAUGGGUAAAGAAGCACCGGCUAACUACGUG